rnacentral:lncRNA from 1 species
GUACAUGCUUCUAAGACCUGAAACGGUGGGUUCAGUCUUGCGCCCAGGAACCUCCCACAUCCGCCCUCGUGCUGACCAUGUGCCUCCGCGCUCGGGGCCCCGCCUGCAAGCUCUAAGGCUUCGAAGUUACCUUUGGCGCCAUCACAUCUUUUCUGUGUCCAUGAAGAGAAGACGGUCCCGCGUGGCGCUGUGUGACCUCACGAUGCCGCUGACCCCAGGACCCUUGAGGUCCCUGACCCUUGCUGCCAUGGCCUGCCCAACAGAGCCCCCCACCCCGCCCCCGGGGCCCCAGUAGGGGCUCGAACCCCUGGCGCGGGGAGGCCGUCACCCCGGGCCCGUCCAGAGCGCCCGCUCCCCCGGCGCACGGCGCGCCUCUUCCCUGGCGGGCGGUUAUUACUGUCCUGCCGCGUGACAUCAUAAUAGGCUGCUGUCCCGGAACACAAAAGCCCUCGGAGACGGUGAGGAGACACGUCCUAUUUAUGCCGUCACCGACGAGACAGCAGUGGGGACGGGGGGAGAGUCAACAUCUGUACCCCGGGAAUAACAAUGACCUUGUUCUCUCUUCUAUCUCUGAAGUCUGCUUAAAUCACGCCCUGCGUGCGCGCGGGCAAGAGUGG